rnacentral:rRNA from 1 species
UACGUAGGGGGCAAGCGUUGUCCGGAUUUAUUGGGCGUAAAGAGCGUGUAGGCGGCCAGACAGGUCCGUUGUGAAAACUAGAGGCUUAACCUCUAGACGUCGAUGGAAACCGUCUGGCUAGAGUCCGGAAGAGGAGAAUGGAAUUCCUGGUGUAGCGGUGAAAUGCGUAGAUAUCAGGAGGAACACCGGUGGCGAAGGCGGCCCUCUGGACGGUGACUGACGCUGAGGUGCGAAAGCGUGGGUAGCAAACAGG